AUAUAUAAUGUAUAUACAAAAGUGUUAUGUGCCAUAUGUAGCAAUUUUUUUACAGUAUUUCAAAAAUGAGAACGAUAUCAAUGGUGCCUUUAUGUUAUGUUGAGAGCAAGUUUUGUAAAAGUUACUAGUGACUGCUGUUCCACAGUAUUUUGCAGAAGUCUCUAACAGUCUGUUUCCCAUCGGGUUCAUGGUGGCUGGCUGUACGGUCUGUAAGAACUGCAACCUUCCCCUGUCUUGCUUGUCGUAGCUCUGAUAAAAGAAAAAGAAAAAUCCAUACUGGCAUACCAACCUAGAAACAAAACAUGCUCAUUCCUUCUUUGAAGAGGCUUCUAUUUCCUUGCGUUUUAUGAGUUUUUCUCUGACAAAAAACAAGACUGAUUUUGGAACCCUUGAGAAAAUGGGUAGGUUCAAUAGCCCGCCAUUGUUUUAUUUGGUUUCUUAAAGGAUAAUACAGCUUUCAGGAACAUAGAACUAUAUCCAAUAUUAGAUACCCCUGUAGGUUUGUCCAUUUGACUAUAAUUACCCAAGAAUCUACCUGAAUUUAAAUAGGAGCUAUCACUGCUACCACCAACAACCUUUUCACUCAGACACACAUGGACAUGCACAGACAUAGUUUUGAUUCAUGUAACAAUAUUUCCUAGAUGUUCGGAGUGAUUUGACAGAAACAUAGUGGGAUCCAAUCUGGCAGGAAGCCCUUCUAUGCAAGCAUCUUUUAAAUUAAUAGGAUGGAUCCAAGAGCAAGGAGUUUCUUGCUUUGGUGUCCUUUGUAUAGGAGAACGUGCUACUGAAUUAUCUUGGGUUAAGUAAAUUGUAGUACCAGAGCAGGUAUUUUUAGACCAUCAAGGAAGUGGAUAAAAACAGAGGAAAUGUAAUACCCACUGCUAAAAUUACGGUCAUUUUGAAACAAUAUUUUCAGGUAGAGCAUUUUUUUUUUCACUUUAAAUUGGGAAGAUCAAUACCAAAAAUAGGAUUUCACGGUGGAUUAUCACUUCCUGUAUGCUUAAAUUUUCUAGUUUACAUAUGGAUGGAAUCCAAAUGUCGUAAAAUGAGCUCUGAUAGAAAAAGAUAAACAUGUUCUGUAUGCCUAGUGACCUAUUAUGUUUUUUACCUUAAGUAUUAGUAAGAUGAGCAUGUUUAUACUUCUCAGGCUCCCGUCAUGCAUGGGUUUUUGUUAUAUAAAUAUAUAUAUAUAAAUAUAUGCAUGCGGCCAGAAAUAGAUAGAAGCCGCCUUUCUUCGAGGCAUGUUGGAGAAACAAUUUGGACAUGAUAAGAGCAAGUGCAUUUGUUUAAAGUUUGGCCCAAUCACUUAGAAGGGUUCUAUUUCUAGAGCAAAAAGAUCAAGGCAGGUGAAAGAAGCUUGUCUAAGUGGAAUGUAUUCCUCUGGGGACAGGAAAAGGAGGCAGGAGGAACAGAGUGCUGUGCUGCAGAUAGGAACAAAGUAAUCAUCUAUGCUAUGAUUUUCUCCCCCAACUAUGUAACCUCUUACCCCGCUUUCUGCAUCAUUUAGGCAGACUUAGUUCAUACAAACAGGUCUGGUAUUUAAUUUGGCACCACCAGCAGCAUUACUGCAGCUUCUAAAUUCACAAGCCAGCAAUUUAUUUUGGAGACCUGAAUCUGGGAUAAAAUUAGCCUUGAUUUAUAACGUACUACAGAGUGCAGCCCAGAGGCCAAAGACUAACAAAUCUAUUCUCUUGGCCUUCCUAGCAUUGGCAAUCAUGUCCAGUUGAUACUGUUGUAAAUGAAAAGCAAAAUGGUUUGCAUAAGUGCUGCUGAGCUUUGGGAGAAUCAGCAAGUAAAAAGUAUUUUAUAAAUUAGACCCUGUGCUCAAGUUUGCUUAAUACUGGUAUCUUCACAGAAGGCCUAAUUUUGGAGAAUGUUAACUUGAUUACAGGAGGCUAACAGGGCAAUUCUAGUCCUAUGUAUUGGAAAAUAAUUAUACAGUAGACUUCUGCAUAAAACUGGUUAGAAUUGUGCUAUAAAAUGAUUUUUACAUUUCAGAAGCACCAGUAAAACACAUUCCCAUGAUGUAACAUACAUUCACUACGAGUUUCCAAAUCAUCAUAUUGACUUCAGCUGGGUAUUGAAGCAAACUCUGGUGUUGACUUCUGAUUCAUAACUUUAUUUGUGUUGCCUAAUAUUCACUUGUAGGCUUCAAUUGCAUUCCCUUUCUCUUGACAAAAUAGGUUUUUUUCCUGCAUUGCUUGAAGAACCCAACGCAGGGGCAUCUAACCUUGGCAACUUUAAGACUUCUGAACUUCAAUUCCCAGAAUUCCCCAGCCAGCAUGCUUGGCUGGGGAAUUCUGGGAGUUGAGGUGCACAGGUCUCAAGGUUGAUGAUGUAGGGCACUCCUGCUCUAGGAGGUUCUUAUUUCUAAGCAUUUUCCAAAUAUAAACCCUUUUCCAAAAUUGGAUUAUUUUAUAGGAACUGUUUGGCUAAGAUGCCAAAUAUUCUAAGAGAGGAAGAAGAAUGAGCAGGGACAUUCUUUCUUAAGCAUAAAGUUGAACAGACCAGAGAAAGUUUUCCAGAAUAUUACCAAUCCUUGACAUUGUGGACUCUGCUAUUAAUAUGCAUACUUCUUCCAGUAAUCUUCCUUUGGUUUUCUGUUGCUUCAGAGUCAUUAAGGCUAUUGUGUGUAGGCUAUUCGGGGGGAAAUAGUGAAACAGAUAUGUAUAUAUUUCAUUUUGAGUGCUUGAUAGAGUAUAUUGGGGCUCCAAUAUGAAAGAAAACAGAAGAAACAAUUUCAGAUUUCAGGAAGACUAUUCCGACUCUAUAGCGUAUGGUAUAGAUUAAAAAGAGUUUUAGAGACUACACAUUUCACCAGUCUUAUCGCGUUCUUCCAAUAGUCGUCUGCACACAUUCCUUUCUUUUAAAUACAUUAAUGCAUUCUAUUCCUGCCAGGGCAGACAAUAUUUCCACUACAUUAAUAUCCCUUUAAUCUUUAACUGUCUUUCCAUGUAUUCUUCUGAAACUAAAACUCACCUAUGCACGACUGUCUCGUGUUCUCCUUUCUGUGCUUACCAAUACAAAACUGAUAGGUGCGUCAACCUGAUCUCCCUGCAUUUUGGAUGCACUUCAUCAUUCUCAAAACUUUCCUUGCAAUAUUGAAGGCGGGAUCCCCAGAGGAACCUGGGAAGAGAAAAUCCAUGCAUUUUGAUUGCCUUGCCUUGCUGCUGAAUCUCACUCUGGGCUAGUGGACUGGGGGAAAAGCCGUAUGGAUUCUUCUCACAUUUGAGUCUGUUGCCUGGCAUUGAGUCCCUACUGGAUAUUUCCUUUGAGUGGAACUCAACUCCUGGUGACUUCAUAGGCAUAGGCAAGGAUAGUUCCUUUGAUUAUAAUACUGCCUUUUAAAAUAUGUGAAAACGAUGUGGGUAAGGGAGAGAGUUUAAAUUAAUGUAAUAUGGCUUUGAGGAAGAUGCACUGCUCAGGAUUGCACGUACAUUGAAAAAUGGCUCUAAACCAGUUAUAAUUCUACCAGAAAAGAAAUGCAAUCAAAUUAAUGGGAAGUAAUCAUGUAACUGCACUUAAAUUCAUUCAACUAAACUUAAAUUUAAAUUAAAUUGACUUGAAUUUUUCCUCUGGUCCUAAUUCUUUUAUUUUAUGCUGGGUCCCUUCAGACUUCAAGUAGGUAACUUGAGCUGGCCAAUGCAACCCUCAGUCCAUAAUGAAACUAUGCAUGCCCUGUUGUAAUGGGUAACACUUCUGUGCCACUUAGCUUAAUAUCUUACUCUGUUAACUGAUGUGUCCAGAUUAGUUUGUGCAUGAAUAUUGCUUGAUUUCUCAUCAUUUUGUAAUGCACAAUUGAAUGAAUUGUGAUAAGAGUUGGUUUUGGACAAUAAGAACAUUCCAUCUAGAUAAUUAAGCUGUGGACAGUGCAUUUACAGUUAUAAAUCAAUGCUGCAUCCAUGACAAAUAAGUGUUAACCUCAAUAGUAGUGUGAAGAACAGCUAUGGAUUAUAAGCAAGAAUGGGUUAUAAGCCAUUCCUCUCAACAAUUCCCAUUUCAUAAAACAAAACAUUACGUAGAAAUAUCCAAUGUAGUAAGAAAAAUAUGAUUGAAAGGCAAUUUCAAUUCUCAGGGCAAUUUUAUUUUAUGCAUUCAAAUGUUAUUCCAUAAAUGUAUUGAGUGUGGUGUUUCUACUCACUUCUAUUUAAUCUUUAAUUUGGAAAAAAAAAAGUUAUGUCAAGUGAAACAGCAGUCAGAAUAAAGAAUUGCUCUUAUGAAUGUAGCUGAUGCUCCAGUUCAGUUCAGACAUCUCAUGUUUGUUAUCUUAAGAAAAUGCACCAAUUAAAGUUCUAGACUGGAUGCGGCAUACAUAGAACAGGGUAUCCGGGAUCUCUGCACAUAUACAUUUUCAUCAGCCAACAAUCUUUUUCUGUGUAAGCUAAGCCAUGUUAGCCACUAUUAGUGGCUAAUGGAUAACAAAUAAUGUAUAGUUCUUUUUUUAAAGGUUGAAGUAUCAUCACGCCCAUAUUUUCCCAUGGUUGAUAUCAAAGCAUGGAGUGGCUACUUGAAUAUUUAGCAAGAUGUGUUGAUGUCUGACUAAAUUGCACAUCUUUAAUAAGCGACAUAAGCAGAGUCUGUUUUCGGCUGAAUUUGUAAUAGCCACAAUGGCUGAUGCUCAACCAAUCUGAAAUGCUGCAGAGAAAUGCAGGAAAUGCAAUGGCCACAUAUCAUUUUAAGUAUAUAUUAUUUUUGUAAAUACAUCUUGUACAUACUUGGAUGUUCCAUCACAAUCAUUU